rfam:Isoptericola dokdonensis DS-3, complete genome.
GGGGCUGAUCGGUUUCGACGGUGGUCGUGCUUCCAGGAGAAGCGGGCCGAGGAUGCAGGCUCAUCUCGUGAACGCUUGCCUGCAAACCUAUAGGUGCCGAUAACAAGCGCACCGACUUCGCCCUCGCCGCCUGAGCGAGUCCCGAAGUCCGUGAGCCCGGGAUCGCUCUCGACCCGGUAGCUCGCGUCAUCUAGAGAGCCACUGCUCGUCGCCCUCGUCACCGGGGCGGCGGGGACUUUCAGGUGACUGGGCCCGUCCGCACCUUGUCUGCGUGAGUGCGGGGGCCGAGAAAAGCACAGCAGACUGCGCCCGGAGAAGUCCUGGAACAGCGUCACCGGACCGGGGUUCGAUUCCCCGCAGCUCCACAG